ensembl:lncRNA
CUUUCUUUGGACUUUGUCUCUGAAUCAGAAAGGUAACUAGAAGUCAUCAGAUAAGAAACUGGACACCACAGAGUAGUCAAACAAACCUGAAGGACUUUGAUAAAAAACACACAAGGAGCUGUGGUACCACCUGAACCACAGAGGCCUCCCAAAGCAGAGAACAACAUCCACGCUGGCUAAACAAAUCGAGCGAGAACUUCAUCAUCACAACAAAACCAAAGACACCCAGGAAAUAAAAUUUGAGAAAGUUUAUUGCUUCACUAUGGCAAAUGCGUUCUCCAAACAACAAAGGGGACUCUGACCACUUUUACUGACAUCCAGACAUCUCAGAAGUGGUUGAGAGGAUGUUUCUCGGCUUGCAGAGGGUCAUGCAAUGCUCUCAUUGAAAUGUGCAGCUGAAUUCCCACCAAUGUCAUGAGGAAGAGCAAGGAGUACUCCUACCAAAAAUCUCAGCUUUUUCACACUACGAAAGACAACCCAAAGUCUCUCCAGCUACCACAGUCACUUUUCAAAGCGCCACCACAGCAACAAACUGCAAGAGUUUAUCAAAACACCCCAGAAACCCAUGACAGCUGCCUUCAUCAGUGCCCAGAGCUGACUGCAUCUCACCCAAAUGCUCUCCUCUCAUGAUUAAGUUAAUCACCAUGUGCUUUCUCCUCUUUCCUUUCUCUUCCACGGGUUGCCUAGGCAGGGAGCAGCCCCAGCAGACAAGCUCCAGGAGGUGCAGGUCAGGUAUGCACAACCCUCUCCUUAACUCUACGUCUCCAGUAUCACCAUGUUAUCUGCUGGAAUCUCCCCUCCCAGCGUUUUUCUCCACCAGCACCACAAAACUCUCCUUUUGCUUUGAUGAAGAAUGAAAACCAGACAUGGCAUUUCUGGCUUUUUCACGAGGAAACCUUCCAUUGCUGUUUCCUGCCAGCCCCCGUUGUCCUACUGGGGUGGUGGAUUGGAUGUGGUGUUCAGGGAUGUGAUUUAGCAGAGGGUUGUUAGAGUUAGGGUAGUAUGGUUAGGUGGCAGUUGGACUUGAUGAUCUUUAAGGUCUUUUCCAACCUGAGCAAUUCUAUGAUUCUAUGAUUCUAUUUACACGUACCUAUUUCAGAGGUACAGGCUGCCCUCACAAGAGUGGAGAUUUAGGUAAGGAUUGUGGAGCAAGGACACUGUGUGCAAUGCAACGGGGAUCUAGAUAGGGUAAAAAUUAAGACUAUAAAUAAUUGUACAGAUGUGUUUCUAUACUAUAUAUGACAAAUUCUGCAGAACAGGCAGUAGUCCCAAGCAUGAAAUUGUCCAGAAGAAGAAAGCAAGGGAAGGAGAAGGAGACAAAAGGAAAAGAUUUAUAAAAGAAAGGGGCAUUUAAAACUACAGUGAUGGAGCAGCCUUUAGUGAAACUUAAACACCAGCCUGCAGUAAAGUCUGUGUAAUAGGAUCUCCCAGCUUUGAGGGAGGUUUCGGCUCCCCUUCGCAGGCCUAUCUCUUUGACCUUGCCUCUGUCACAUAAACGAACAGAAAUGAACAUAUGUUUUUAAGUUUGUUUCUAGAAUAACCAGAGCGAAGCAGAAAUACUGCGCUGCUCACACCAGGCUCUCCUCGGGGGAAAGCGGAGAGAAAAACCAUGCGUGCUCG